AGCGAACGCUGGCGGCAGGCUUAACACAUGCAAGUCGAGCGGGCCCUUCGGGGUCAGCGGCGGACGGGUGAGUAACGCGUGGGAACGUGCCUUCUGGUUCGGAAUAACCCUGGGAAACUAGGGCUAAUACCGGAUACGCCCUUUUGGGGAAAGGUUUACUGCCGGAAGAUCGGCCCGCGUCUGAUUAGCUAGUUGGUGGGGUAACGGCCUACCAAGGCGACGAUCAGUAGCUGGUCUGAGAGGAUGAUCAGCCACACUGGGACUGAGACACGGCCCAGACUCCUACGGGAGGCAGCAGUGGGGAAUAUUGGACAAUGGGCGCAAGCCUGAUCCAGCCAUGCCGCGUGAGUGAUGAAGGCCUUAGGGUUGUAAAGCUCUUUUAUCCGGGACGAUAAUGACGGUACCGGAGGAAUAAGCCCCGGCUAACUUCGUGCCAGCAGCCGCCGUAA
rnacentral:rRNA from 1 species